CCUACGGGCGGCAGCAGUGAGGAAUAUUGGUCAAUGGGCGUAAGUCUGACCCAGCAACGCCGCGUGAAGGAAGAAGGCUUUCGGGUUGUAAACUUCUUUUAAGGGGGAAGAGCAGAAGACGGUACCCCUUGAAUAAGCCACGGCUAACUACGUGCCAGCAGCCGCGGUAAUACGUAGGUGGCAAGCGUUGUCCGGAUUUACUGGGUGUAAAGGGCGUGCAGCCGGAGAGACAAGUCAGAUGUGAAAUCCGCAGGCUCAACCUGCGAACUGCAUUUGAAACUGUUUCCCUUGAGUAUCGGAGAGGUCAUCGGAAUUCCUAGUGUAGCGGUGAAAUGCGUAGAUAUUAGGAAGAACACCAGUGGCGAAGGCGGCCUGCUGGGCUCUAACUGACGCUGAGGCACGAAAGCGUGGGUAGCAAACAGGAUUAGAUACCCCAGUAGUC
rnacentral:rRNA from 1 species